ACCCCCCCUAAAUGUAUCAAUGAUGGUUGUCCCUUCACUCUCUAUCUCUUUCGCACUCUCUGUUCUCAACUUGAACAGAACGAAAAAACCCACCCUCUUCAUCGACAACUUCUUCUUCUCACCCUUUGCGUCACCUCCUUUUCAUCGACACCACCCUCUUCGCUACCUCCUCCUCCUCCUUCUCCUUCUCCUUCUCCUUCUCCUUCGUCACUUUCCUCUUCAUCAACCCUUCGAUUUCAACUCACAAGCAACACAGCAGCAAGAGGCGACACAGCAGCAAAGAGGCGACGGCGACCCAUCCAUUCCCUUCGAAGGCCUCCAGCGACGGCGACGCAAGGAGUUCCGAGAUCAGCAAGCAUCUGGUUUUGUCCCUUGUUGCAUCUCUUCGUCUUCCCUUCAGUGAGAAACUGGUCAGAAUUUUUGGGUGCCCCUGCAUACCAAACAGCAAGCAAUUGGUCCUUAAUUUCUCCAUCUUAACGUAGAAGUAAAGCUAUACCUCCUCCAUCCUUCCUCCCUAGCGGUUGCAUUAGCAGCAACUAUUCUCAGCGGCGAGUUCAGAUCAUCUGUGGCGGUUCCUGUGAGAGACAAACAGAGAAGGCGACGCGGGCGGUCGUCGUGACUCAGGCAGUGAGGCGAGGGGAGGCGGCGACGAGAUGGAUCGCAGCUUUGCUGAUGAAUUGUAUUCAGAAACCUUAAGGCUUUCAAAUGGAGAACUGGGUCCCAUAUCCAGUGCCAAUGAUGAGCAGAAUGGCUCUUAUGGAGAUGGACAUCCAAGAUUCUAAAGCAUCGUGGAAGGGACGAAAUCUGUCUUAAGAUCAUGAGUUGGAUCAAUUGUCACAUGAUGAUGGAUCCUUAUGGGGGAGUUCUCCUGAAGAACAUGACAGUCUAUCUGAUUUGGAUAGGGAGUGGAAAAGAAGGCAUGACCAAUUCCAUACAGUAUCCUUCCAAAUUAAAGCUAUUUACUUGUCCACGUUCGUAUAUAUCUCUUUUUGUUUUUUAGGGCAAAAUCCACUUUACUCCUGAAGUAUGGUCUGGUAGCACUUUACCCCAUUCUCUUUUAGAAAUAGCCUGUUUAGUGAAGAAGAAAAUUUCUGUAGUAAAAGUCAAGUCAAUGUGUAAAGUCAUGUUUACUCUUUUCUGCAUCUUCUACUUCAAACUCCAACCCAAACCCUAACUGUACUACUCCCACUACACCCCCAACCCCUCCAGCCACCACCACCACCUCCACCACUUCCCUGCCACUGCCUCCUUCCCACCCCACCUUCCCAACUCCUCUGGCCACUAUACCUCUCUUCCUCCAAUUAAUAUAUUGGAAAUCAAAACGUUUCUAAAAGCUUACCAUAGUGACAAUAAUUAAUACAAUCCCCAUGUCAAUAUCAUUAGAAUUUGCAUAUACAAACGUAGCUUUUGGUCUGAACUCUUGAUUUAAAUAAUGAAGCACAAGCACAUCUCUUAGUUUUUUAUUGUAACCUUGAAUAAAUGUCUUCACCUCGGCUAAACAUUUAUGCUAGAUGGAGGGCAUGAACACCUCAUUGAAUGUUCUCAACUUAGUCACAUUUGAUUUCAGAUUCAUCCCCUACCAGUGUAUGUAUACAAAUAUCUAUAUGUAUAUAUAUUGUUUAUAUAUUUAUAAUUAAAGGUGUAAAUAAUUAGAAAUUAUGUUAAAAUGUUAGAAAUUAGAUUAUAAAAUUAAGGGUAAUUGGAUAUGAAGCAUGAAUACUUCGAAAAUAGUAUUGUUCAAGUACCACAUAUGUACCACUAUGAGUAUGCGUACCCGGUAUGAGAAAUAUGUAUCCGGUACUCGAAAGAUUUUGGGUACAGCUUUGGUAUGGCAUGGAUAUGGGAUGGGUACAGCAUGGGUAUGACUCGAGUACAGGAGAUGGGUACAUUACAGUUACUUUUGUGGGUAUGCCUGGGCAUAAAUGUAAGGCUACCGGGUCAUAUCACAAGGGGUAAAAAAGAUUUUGCCCCCUUUUUUUUUUUUCAUUC